AAUAAUAGUUGAUCGCUGCAUAUCACUAUAUGUAGAGGAAAGUCCAUGCUAGCAUUAUCUGAGAUGAUAAUAAUGUUUGUGCAGGUAUAUAAAAAAUAAAACCUGGUACAUACUUUAAGUAUGUAACGACAUUUUAUAAACCUAAGUCUUUUGAUAAGGUUUGUGAAUCUAAAGUGCCACAGAGACGAGUUGUAAUGAAAGUUACAAUGUGAAACGCGGUAAACUCCUCAAGCUAGAAACCUAAAUUUUGGUAAGGGAACUUUUUAAUAAGAAAUGAAUUAUUAAAAGGAUGUUGAAAAACAUAGAUAAAUGAUCAACGCUCCUAUGAGUACAGAACAUGGCUUAUUUU
rnacentral:RNase_P_RNA from 3 species